GUCAGUAGGACAAGCAUAAUGCGGAGGUGGCAGUCUGCAGACCUGCAGCAUUUCUCCUACACCCUGACUGGAAGCUUUAAGCUGCCUCCUUGACAUGAGCUGGAGGACAGAGCCCUGAGGCCACUGCGGGAGACUUCAGCUUCCAGCACCACUGUGCUAUGGGUUAAGGACUCACCUCCUGUGUAGUAGCCAUAGGCGUAGAGGACUCUCCCGAGGAUCCAGGCAAUGCCAAGCCCUGUGGCAAUUCGCUAGAUAGAAAGGAGAAGAAUUAAAGGUUUCAAGGAUCUGCAUCUUGCACCUGCUCAGCUGUUUGGAUAGCAGCCCUGCUUCAAGAGGAGACCACCAACUACGGUGUGGGUCCUUACCCAGCUAGGACAACUGGGAGUGAGCCUGGGAAAGCUUUUACAGACUUCUCUGGUAUACGCGUGAACAAACACACGUCUGUCGCCCGUUAGCCUGCGCCUCUGCGUCCACUCUUGCCUAUUUGGGGCCUAUGGAUUAGAGAUCCAGCUGGUGUCGGACGGAGAAGCCAGCGUCUGGCACGUGGAGUUGCUGUGUGUUUUCGUGCAAGCAGAUACCUCCCUAGGCAAAUGGCAGUGUUAGGCAAAUGACAGGAUCUUCUUUGCACCUCCCUUUAUUCUGGUCUGUAUAUACACUUUGGUAUCAAAACACAAGUCAUUUCCAAGAUUCCAGCUUCAGCGAUAUAUGAUACAAACCUUAAAAUUCAGGAGGACUUUCUAGGUCUGUAAGGGGACAAACAUGCAAAAUGUUCCUAAACCAGUGGCGGUGUAGUGGGGUCCCACUGCAGGAGGACAGAUGGCAUCUUUUCACCGUUGCUGGUGUAAGAAAGGAAGAAAACAGGACCCGGUGGGAUCCCAGGUUCCUGAAAGCCCUAAAUGAGCAAAACGCUUCAGCCCGUGCUAAUCCAGCAUGAUUGAGGCCCGCUCCGAGCAGUCCUUAGGGUCGGGACCAAACCUACCUGCUGAUGCCAGUUGUGCUGCAUGAAGGAUCCGGGUGCUCGUCUGCACAGGGCAGGUGUUGGCAUUGCCCCUCGCUGGCCUGCAAGGGGCUCGUGGGGCGCUCAGGAGAAUCCGAGAAGUACCUGCUACAGGAAUUAGACGCCUCUGGAAUUUUAGCGACUGGUCAAAAUCCUCAUUCAGGCAAUUAAAUCGAUUUUUGGAUCCAA